CACGUAGGGCGCAAGCGUUGUCCGGAAUUAUUGGGCGUAAAGAGCUCGUAGGUGGUUUGUUACGUCUGCUGUGAAAUCCCUAGGGCUUAACCCUGGGCGUGCGGUCGAUACGGGCAUCACUGGAGUUCGGCAGGGGAGACUGGAAUUCCUGGUGUAGCGGUGAAAUGCGCAGAUAUCAGGAGGAACACCGGUGGCGAAGGCGGGUCUCUGGGCCGAUACUGACGCUGAGGAGCGAAAGCGUGGGGAGCAAACAGG
rnacentral:rRNA from 1 species